rnacentral:pre_miRNA from 1 species
UUGUGCUUGGUGGGAAGGCAGUGUAACGUUAGCUGGUUGUGGUUGUAUAUGUUACCAGUUAACUUGCUGCUGCCCUCUUACCACACAUGGA